rnacentral:rRNA from 1 species
AUUGAACGCUGGCGGCAUGCUUUACACAUGCAAGUCGAACGGCAGCGGGGAGGAGCUUGCUUCUCUGCCGGCGAGUGGCGAACGGGUGAGUAAUACAUCGGAACGUGUCGAGACGAGGGGGAUAACCACCCGAAAGGGUGGCUAAUACCGCAUAAAUUCUGAGGAAGAAAGCUGGGGACCUAGGAAUAGGCCUAGCGCUUUUUGAGCGGCCGAUGUCGGAUUAGCUAGUUGGUGAGGUAAAGGCUCACCAAGGCGAAGAUCUGUAGCGGGUCUGAGAGGAUGAUCCGCCACACUGGGACUGAGACACGGCCCAGACUCCUACGGGAGGCAGCAGUGGGGAAUUUUGGACAAAGGGGGCAACCCUGAUCCAGCCAUGCCGCGUGUAUGAAGAAGGCCUUAGGGUUGUAAAGUACUUUUGUUAGGGAAGAAAAGUCAGCUGUGAAUAAUGGCUGAUACUGACGGUACCUAAAGAAUAAGCACCGGCUAACUACGUG